GACGAGGGGACCUUCAGGGAGCCCACGGGCUCAGGCUCUCAGCCCGAGCCGUGUUCUUCAGACGGGCACGGGCUGCAGCGCCAACGCCCGUGGGCCCCCAGGGCCAGGCCAACGCUC
rnacentral:precursor_RNA from 13 species